AAGACCUUUGGAGGAAUUUUAUAAAGGGUUGGGAAAAGGGAAGGUGAAAUGGGGGUGGUGGUGUGUUGUGUGUAUGUAUGACCUCUUGUUGUUGUAUUGUAUAUGAAGUAAAUGUUUCAGCUUUCUUUGCUUUAUUUUUUGGUUUUAUUCAAAGAUUUCUAUUCCUUUUUUUCCAUCAAAUAAAUAAUUUUUUUUUCAUCUAUAAUGGACCUCAUGGGUAUAGGAAUAUUAUUCCCCAUAUCCUGUUGACUAUGGACUUUUCUCCUUUACCCACACAAUUUUUCAAAACCCCAAAAAUUAAUUUCUCAAAAACAAAAAUUUUGCCUUUAAAAUUUCACAAUCUAUAAAGAAAAAAAAAAAAGUGUGGGAAUGGGCAGAGAGAACA
rnacentral:lncRNA from 1 species